ACCAUUUUGAAAUUGAAUCCCUUAGAGAAAGUUUCCAUUGGCAGAAUGUAUAACUUAUUUUUGUUACAAAAAGAGAACAUAUCACUAAAGAUUAAACAAGAUUGGGAGAGAGAACUUACUAUGACCUUUGUUAAUGAAGAUUGGCUUCGAGUUUUGAAAAACGGAAAUUCUUCUUCUAUAUGUGCCAACCAUUGUUUAAUUCAAUUUAAAACUGUUCACUGUUGUUAUUUAACAAAGGAGAGACUAUCUAAAAUAUUUCGUAGUAUAGACAAAUGCUGUGAUAGAUGUAAAACUGAAGUAGCUACUUUGUCACAUAAUUUCCGGCAUGUUCAUCAUUGAAAUCGUUUUGGAAAUCUUUAUUUCCAACAAGUUCUGAAGCUCUGAAAAUGAAUUUACAACCUAAUAGAUUGACUGUUCUAUUUGGUAUAGUUCCACAUCAUAUUCAGGGUAUUUCAUCUUCAGAUCUAGUUGUAAUUGCAUUUGUUACACUAUUGACAAGAAGGGCCAUUUUAUUAAAAUACAAAGAUACUUCUUCCCUUGCAUUAAUUGAUUGGUUUUCUCAAGGAAUCUUAUGUCUUAGUUUGAAAAAAAAUAGGAGAACUUUUGAUCCUCGAUUCGAUUUUGAGAGAAGAUGGGGUUCUUUGCCAAAUAUUAUCAUUUAAUUUGAAUUAUGCUAUGUGGUUUCCUUCCAAUUUUAUUUUUUUAUAAAUAUGAAAUGGCGGUUGAUGAUUGUGUUUUCUUUCUGACAGUUAUUUAGUUUAUAAUAUUUUCGCUUAGUAAUUCAUUUGUUAGUAUUUUCUAGUUAGAAUUAGAAGUGUUUAAAGUAUAUUCAUUGCCUGUAAAAAAUAUCGGCAUGCGAUGACGUCACAUCCGGUUUCACCGCGUCUUGUGUGAAAAUACCGGUUUGAGAUUAACGCGAGGGUGGGGGGCUCACCACGAGGCACACCUGAGCAGAAGUUGUUUUGCAAGCAUUAGAAAUCACACUGGGAGCAACGCUGUAAGUUAAUAGAUAAUCGAUAUAUUGAACUAAGAUGUUAACGCCGAUCCUGUUAAAAGUAACGACGGUCGAUAAUGUUUAUGUUUUCGUUAGUUAAAGAGUUGCGGAUAGUUUGCAUUGAAGUGUAUUUAAAGUACUCAAUGGCGUAGGUAAACUCUGCCUGUAUACUGCACCUUAAUGUAAUGUAGUUAUAGUCACUUUUACAAGUACUUACAAUUGAAAUGUGAUAUUAAGAAAGGAACAAAUACUGUAUCAAUCUUGUAUUGUUUUAUCAACAGUUUUCACCAUAUGUUAAUGUGAAGAGUGAACAGUAAAUGGUUAAUCUUACUGCGAUCUGGUUUUCAUUGACUGUGGUUUAUCUCGACGUUUAAUUCGGCGUUAUUUGUUACACCCGAACGAGAACGUUACAAUGAUACUAUUUUUAUAUUUAGAUGAUGGCUAAACGUAUUGCUCCGGGGGGGUUGAUUUCUAAUGGGUUUUUUCCCUUUUUUGUAGUUAGUGGGUUCCCCCCUAGUUAGAUGGGGUUCUUUAUUACCUUCUUUUUCCUAUAUAUAUUUUCCAUUUUUAUAUUUAGCGAUUACUUUUUUUCUUCAGCUUUAUUAAUUUUAUACAUAUUAAUCCAUUGGUCUUGUUUCAUUCUAUAGCUGUAGAAGAUUAUGUACUGGUAAAAAAGAUUAUAAAAAUGAAAAAUGAAAAUGACAAAACAACAAUGUAACAAAGCAUUAUAGCUGCAGAGGUCACGGCGAGUUACAUUGUGAGGCCGAGUCCAUUUCAUCAUUCUUUUGGAUUAUGACCACAGACAGGAAGCCGUCCUUGAGCCGGGUGGUUCGCGCUUUAAGGCUUUUGUAUCUCGCCCCGAUGGGGGAGCGGGUUUGCAGCGAGAAUGUCCAGGUUGUGAGGGUCUUUGAGUACAUGGCCUGCUUUUCCGAGGCAGGGGAAGUGAAGGAAGAGUCCAUGGAGGGGAGGCUUGUUUCCCCGAUGUUCUCUGCUCUCCAAAGUUCUCUGCAGUUCCUUGCAGUCAUGGGCAGAGCAGUAGCCAUACGAAGGCGUGAAGUAUCGACAAGAAGCUCAGAGACCUCGGUCUUCACCCUGCCUUGUGUAGCUGGAUCCUGGACUUCCUGUCAGAUCGCCGGCAGGUGGUAAGAGUGGGCUCCCUCACCAGGGUCUCGCUGACCCUCAGCAGACAUAUCCCACAGGGGUGUCUCCUUGCACCCUCCUUUACUGUCUGUAUUCCCAUGACGUGUCGCCACCCACAGCUCCAAUCUGCUAAUUAAAUUUACUGACGACACUACUCUGACUGGCCUAAUCUCAAAUAAUAACGAGGCAGCCGACAGAGAAGAAGUCAUCACCCCGACACAGUGGUGUCAAGAAAACAACCUCUCCCUCAUUGUGACAAAAACAAAGGAGCUGGUUGUGGAUUACAGGAUGAAUGGAGACAGGGACCAACUUCAACAUUUCCCUGUCUGUUCUUGAGACAAAAUGCACAUUUUAAUAUUGAUCAUGACACAGUGUAUUUUAUAUAACGUUAAUGAUAUGAAACAUAUUUACAAAUCGUUACUGACAGAGAACCGUAUAAUUUGUGUUCUGUGUGUUAUAUGAAUGUACUUACCUGUGAUGUUGCCACAAGUCAGUCUUUCUCUGUACCUGUACCUUCCCACACUUGUGCAGUUGGCAAUAAAUUCAACAGGACCUGAGAAAUCUCAGUGAGAUUUGAUUAGUGAUGAUCAUCUUGUCAGCUCGGUAGGUCGAAUGUAUGAGACAGUACACUGUUAAAUGCAAAACACUGAACAGUGUCGAUGAUCAGAGGGAACAUGGACUCCCAGUUCAUCGCUCCCUGAAAGAGACUGCACAGAUUGAUCGGGUGGUUAAGAAGGCAAAUGACAUGGUUGUCUUUAUUAGUUGAAGCAUUGAGUUCAAAAGUCGGGAAGUUGUUUUUCGGCUGUUACGAGCCUGUUACUAUAUACUAAUAAAGGUAAUGGUUUUAACAUCAAAAUCAGACUCCAGUGUGAACUCUAUUGCUGCUGGUUCGUUUCUAAAACUUUACAGUUCGUAACAAGGCUUUACAAAACAGGUUAUACCACAUCUGGAGUGUUUCAUACAGUUCUGGUCGCCCCCAUUCUCGGAAGGAUGUCGGGGCUUUGGAGAGGGCGCAGAAGAGGUUUACCAGGACACUGCCUGGAUUAGAGGGCAUGAGCUAUAACGAGAGGCUGGACAAACUUGUGUUGUUUUCUCCAGAGCGGCGCAGGCAGGGGUGAGACUGGAUGGACGUUUAUAAGAUGACAAGAGGAAUAGAUAGAGUGGACAGACGAUAUAUUUUUCCUGGGGGUUGAAAUGUCUAAUACAUUUAAGGUGAGAGGAGAUGUGAGCGGCAAAUUUGCUUCUUUUCACAGACUAAUGAGUAGCUGGAGUCUCUGCCUGGGGGAGGGGGGGGGGGAGUUGUCACCAAUCCUGCACGUGAUCCCGUUUGCCCCUCCCAUGUAACCGCAGAUGGGUAGCACCUGCGCGUCUGUUUCCGAGGCCCCGCCUCCCGAUGAUGUAACAAUCUGUUCGCGCAUGUUCACAGUCUCCAGGUGGACGGUGUUAUCCUCUCCGCUCAGAGCUGAAGUGGGUCGGCUGUGUGUUCGCGAAAGACUUUCGUCUCUUGCGUCGGGAUCACUGUCUGCGGGCCGAAGAUAUCACUUUCCCAUCGGUAGACCUGCAGUGAGAGAUUUAGUGGAAGAAAAACCACGACUGAAGACGAGGGAACAGCAACAAGUGAACCAGCCCGAGGACUGAGAGCACCGACUGGAGAGGACCCAUAUGACUCGGAGAUUCCAUUGAUUCAGUCCGGAGAAAGUUUGGGCCAUGCGUUAAGAAUUUUGCCAGCGCUGAAGCGCCAAUGAAAUGCGCAGGCGUCAGGCUGAGGACGUCCCCGAUGCGCGCAGUACACAGAAGGCCUUGAAAAUGUCGGGUGCAGGUCGAAUUGCGAGCUCAACACUCAAUCCGGCACGGAUGGAAAGCGUACAAGGGAGCGACUGUAUUCGAACCCAUGGACCUCCGUUACGAAGUCCGGCGCUGACGUCACUACGCCACCAGGACCUUGGGCAAGACUCCCAGAAGAUUAGUUUACGGGUUGAGUCUAUGGUAACGAAGGCAACUGCAAUGCUGGCUUUAUUUAAAGUGAAGUAGAAUAUACUAGCAAGGAGAUAAUGCUGUUACUUUAUAAGAGACUACUCAGGCCACACGUCAGAACAUAAGAAAUGGGAGCAGGAGUCGGCCAUUGGCCCAUUGAGCCUGCCCCGCCAUUCAAUAAAAUCAUGGCUGAACUCAGCUCCAUCUACCAGCCUUUUCCCUAUAACCAUUAAUUACCUUAUUCUGCAAAAACCUAUCUAACUGUAUCUUAAAUAUACUUCGUGAGGAAACCUCAACUGCUUCCCUGGACAGAGAAUUCCACAGAUUCAGCACUCUCUGGGAAAAACAGUUUCUCCUCAUCUCCGCCCUAACUCUUCUCUCCUGAAUCUUGAGGCAAUGUCCCCAAGUUCUAGUCUCAUCUACCAAUGGAAACAACUUUCCUACUUCUAUCUUAUCUAUCCCUUUCAAAAUUCUGGGUAUUUCUAUAAGAUUCCCUCUCAUUCUUCUGAACCCCAGAGAGAAAAGUCCCAGGCGACUCAAUCUCUCCUCAUAGGUUAACCCCCUCAUCCCUGGAAUCAAACUGGUUCACCUUCUCUGCAUUGCCUCCAAAGCCAGUACUGUCUAUCCUUCCUCGUGUACGGAGACCAGAACUGCACACAGUACUCGAGGUGCGGCCUCACCGGUACUCUGUAUAGUGGCAGCAUUACCUCCCUGCUCUUGAAUUCAAUCCCUCUACCAAUGAAGGGUAAUAUUCUGUUAGAGUUAGAGUAUGUGGGACUUCUAUCUUAGAAAAUGUGCGUUGUCAUUGGAGAGAGUCCAGAGGAUCUUCAAGAAGAUGAUUCCGGGAAUGAAGGGGUUAAGUAUGAGAAGCGUUUGCCAGCUUUGGGCCUGUACUCCUGCACUGACUUAUGUUUAGUAAAUGUGGGUGGAGGGUGUUCAGAAGCUGCAGAAGGCUGUAAAUCUCGUCACCUCCAUCUUGGGUACGAGACUACAAAGCAUCCAGGACAUCUUUAGGAAGCGGUAUCACAGAAAGGCAGCGUCCAUUAUAAAGGACCUUCAGCACCCAGGACAUGCCCUUUCCUCACUGUUACCAUCAGGUAGGAGAUACAGAAGCCUGAAGGCGCACACUCAGUGAUUCAGGAAAAGCUUCCCCUCUGCCAUCCGAUUCCUGAAUGGACUUUGAAAGCUUUGGACACUCUUCAAUAUACAGUAUUUCUGUUUUUACACAUUUUAAUAAACUAUUCAUCACACAUAAUUGAUUUACUUGUUGAUUACUGUUUUAAUUAGUUUAUUAUUAUCUAUGCCAGAAUAUGAAUUGCAUUGAACUGCUGUUUGAUUAUUGUUUUAAUUCAUUUAUUAUUAUCUAUGCCAGAAUAUGAAUUGCAUUGAACUGCUGCUGCUGUCAACAAAUUUCAAGCCAAAUGCCUGUUGUAAUAAACCUCAUCCUGAAUCCUGAAUCUCACUGAAACCCACCGAAUGUGGAAAAGUCCAGAUAGGGUGGAUGAGGAGAGGCCUUUUCCUAUGGUGGGGGUAGCCAUAACAGAGGGCACAGCCUGAAAGCGGAGGAGCAACCUUUUAGAGCAGUUAAGGAGGAUUUUAUUUAGUCAGACAGCAGUGAAUCUGUGGAAUUCUCUGACACAGAUGGCGGUGGGGGCCAACUCUGUGUGUACAUUUCAGGCAAAAGCUAAUAGUUUAUGGAUCAGUCGAGGCAUUACAGGAUAUGCCGAGGAGACAGGUGCAUGGGGUUGAGUGAGAACCGGGAUCAGCCAUGAUAGAACGGCGGAGCAGACUCAAUGGGUCUGACUGGCCUAAUUCUGCUCCUAUGUCUGAUAGUCUUAUAAUGCGAGUGUCUUACACAGUGAAGAUUGACACAAAAUACUUAUUACAUUCGGCCGCGAUUUCUUUGCCCUAUUACUAACACGCCAUCAUCAUCUUCCAGUGGUACAAUAUCAACUCUUCCCUCUCUUUUACCCUUUAUAUAUCUAAACAACUUUUGAUACCUGAUAUUAUUGGCUCAAUUACCGUAAUUUUUCAUCAUGUCUCUCCUGUGUGUGUGUGUGUGUGUGUGUUUUUGUUGUCUCCUGUUGGGUAUGUAAAAGAUUUCCAAUCCUCUCACUUCCCACUGUUUUCUUGCCAUAUUACGUGAUCCCGCUUUUGCUUUUAUCAAAAACAGGAGAAAAUCUGUGGAUGCUGGGAAUCCAAGCAACACAGACACAAAAUGCUGGAGGAACCUGGGAUGCCAGGCAGCAUAUAUGGGAAAUAGCAAACAGUCGACGUUUCGGGCCGAGACCCUUCAUCAGGACUGGGAACAAAGAAGAUGAGACAUCAGAGGAAGCAGUGUGGGGGUGAAGGGGUGGAAGACGUGGUAGGUGAUGGGUGACACUGGGAGACGGGGAGCAGUGAAGGAAAAAUCUUCUUUGGAUUUUAUUUCCUUAACGAUUCUCGAAAGAUCAAUGCUAAUGCCUCCACAUCACUUCAGCCACCUCUUUCGGAUCUCAGAGGUGUACACCAUCUGGUCCAGGUGACCUAUUUACCUUCAGACCAUCUCUGUUUCCCAAAGAACAUUCUCCCGUGUAACGUAACUUUACACAUUCUGACCACUGACAUCUGGGACUUCCAUAUUCCUGCCAGUGUCUUCGAGAGAUAAGAGUGAUGUACAAGAUUUAUUCAGUUCAUCUGCCAUCACCUUGCAGCCCCACCCCGUUUCUACCUCUCCAGCAUCAUUUUUCAGUGGUCCGAUAUCCACUUCAGCCUCUCUCUUACAAUAUAUGUACCUGAAGAAAAAUUUGGUAUCCUCUUUAAUAUUGCGGGUAGCUCAUCUAUGUAUUCCAUCUUUGCUGCCUGACAAUGACGGAAAACGUAGUUUACUUUAUUCAAUGUAGUCUUGUUUUUUUUAGUAUGUUUCAAUUGCGCUUAAGCCCAAAGUGCAUAGAGAUAUGUAGGUAAUACAUGAUACUUAUGGGGUAUUAGCCUUCAUAAGUGGAGGAAUAGAGUUGAAGUGUCGCGAGGUAAUGAUGCAGCUCUAUAAAACUCCAGUUCGGCCACACUUCGAGUACUGUGUCCAGUUCUGGUCGCCUCACUAUAGGAAGGAUGUGGAAGCAUUGGAAUGGGUACAGAGGAGAUUUACCAGGUUGCUGCCUGGUUUAAGGAGUAUGGAUUAUGAUCAGAGAUUAAGGGAGCUUGGGCUUUACUCUUUGAAAGAAGGAGGAUGAGAGGAGACAUGAUAGAGAAGUACAAGAUAUUAAGAGGAAUAGACAGAGUGGGCAGCCAGCGCCUCUACCCCAGGGCACCACUGCUCAGUACAAGAGGACAUGGCAAGGGGAGGGAAGUUCAAGGGGGAUAUUAGAGGAAGGUUUUUCACUCAGAGAGUGGUUGGUGCGUGGAAUGCACUGCCCGAGUCAGUGGUGGAGGCAGAUACACUAGUGAAAUUUAAGAGACUACUAGACAGGUAUAUGGAGGAAUUUGUGGGAGGCUAUAUGGGAGGCAGGGUUUGAGGGUCACCACAACAUUGUGGGCCGAAGGGCCUGUAAUGUGAUGUACUAUUCUAUGUUUUAUAAUCAAUACAUUAUUUCAGAUAGGACAAUCCGUACGAACCAUUCGAAUAUAAUAUUACAGGAUUAAUAAGCAGGAACAACUCCUCCAAUAGAUAAAACCAUUCCAAACACAUACAUUCCUCAACCAGUGGAGCACCUCACCACAGGCAUUGUUUGUGUCAUCAGUCAGACAACCGAAAGAUUUUCUCUAUCAAUCAGCUUCCAAAUGUUGCUACUCUGUCAUUCGUUGACACGCUCCGCUGCUGAUUCCCUUCUCCUUAUCAUAUGUUCUUACCCCGACCGUCGUCCAGAGCCCCAAACUCUGCCUUGUGCAGACCCGCCUCUGGUUUCUGACCCUGCUCCGUUGAACAUCCAAACAAUGGUUUCGCAUUCUGCUUUCAGUCUUUAGAGGACAGUGUGUUUUCAACAACACUUUAGUAGCAGGGGAAAUGACCCAUAAUGUGGAAAUGAGCCAUGAAUAAGGAGGUUAACUCCCAAAUUCAUUCUUCCUCAGCUCAGAGAUUUCAGGGGUAAAGAACAUCUCAGACAGAACUGCAGUCAGCUCAAUUUCUUCAGUCUGCAGAAAAUUCAGGGAAACCUCUUCACCCACAGGAUGGUGACUGUUUGGAACCCAUCACCACAGGGAGAGCAAGAGGUGAACAACAGGGGAGGACUUAAAAGGACUGUCCUGGAACAGAAUCACAGGCAGUGUCCAGCCGGCCUGAGUUGACCCUCCACUGUGCACAAGGAUCCCAAUACAGGGAGUGCCAAGCAGACGGGCUGAGUAAGCGGCUGGACCACUCUGGGGACUGCGGAGACUGACCGGGUGCCCAAUAGGUAUUUUACCUUUUGUCACUCUCCGUUACUUCAUUUGGAGGUACGGUCCCUCACCCAAGGCUGAUUGCUUAGCUUGACGGGAUUGGGAAAGAAUCUGUCGAGAGGCUCGUAUAAGGAAGGCAAAAUUUUGCUAAGUGGGCAUGUGGCAGUACCAGGUAAAUUUUACUAAGUGGGCAGGAGGCAGACAUGCCAGAUAAUUUCAUUAAUUGAGCAGGAGGUGCCAGCCGGGUAAAGUUACCUGAUCGAUAAUUGAGCAGGAGGCUUUGUGCCGGGUAGAUUACUUAGAGGACAUGGGUCAAUUGCAGUCGAUUGAUGCGAGUGGGCCAGGAGCAGCCCUACACAAUAUGUCUGAGAGUUUUCCAGGCAAGGAAAAAGAUUUUCAAAUGUUGAGUGCAGCGCUGAAUAAGAAAUUGGGGAACAAAAUGUGGCCACGGGGGGGAAGGGAAACUGGGAUAUUACAUCAUGAGAACAAACAGUCAAUUUGAUAUGGAAAAAGAACUGUGGAAAGAAGUGGAAAUUGUUGAAAGGGAGUGAAAGGAAAAGCAGAUAUGAAGUGGAACAGUAUAUUAUUAGCAAGUUGGAGUAAGAAUGCAUGUGACAAUGAGAUAGAGGUAUGUACUGCAAAGAUUGGGAGACACUAAAAGUGAAGUGUGAAUGGGUGGAUGUGCACCGAAAACGAGAGCAGGAAAAACAACGUAAGCAAACCAAUGCCGGCCCAGAUAGGAGAGAAGGGCAGGAACGUCAGACAGACAGACAGACAAACGUACUUUAUUGACCCCGAGGGAAAUUAGGUUUCGUUACAUUCUGAUAGGGAAACAAGGGAUCCCAAACCCAUGUCUGUCAUACCGACCCUGCUUGAGGACAGUGACCGUGAUGAGGAGUGGGAACCCCCCCGUACCUCUCCUACCUUACCAGGGGCCAAGUGCACCCACUGCCCCCAAACCCCAACGAUGGCCGCUCGGGUAAAACAGCAGGACAGGGAAGUGGGGGGGGGGUGGGGGUGCCACUUUACCAUGAGAUCCUGAAAGGGAAUACAGAGGUUUAUUCCGAGACAGGGAGGGAAGAAUCCAAUAAAACCCCAGAGUUAAUGGCUCCACAAAGACAAUU